rnacentral:rRNA from 1 species
UACAGAGGGUGCGAGCGUUGUCCGGAAUUACUGGGCGUAAAGGGCGCGUAGGCGGCCUGCUAAGUCGGAUGUGAAAUCCCUCGGCUCAACCGAGGAACUGCAUCUGAUACUGGCGGGCUUGAAUCCGGGAGAGGGAUGUGGAAUUCCAGGUGUAGCGGUGAAAUGCGUAGAUAUCUGGAGGAACACCGGUGGCGAAGGCGGCAUCCUGGACCGGUAUUGACGCUGAGGCGCGAAAGCUAGGGGAGCAAACGGG